GCUAUUUUGGCAGAUAAGUGCGUUGGAUUUAGAAUCUUUUAAUGUGAGUUUUAUCUUACAGGUAGUA
rnacentral:tRNA from 1 species